rnacentral:tRNA from 1 species
GCCUCAGUAGCUCAGUGGCAGAGCGUCUGCAUGGUAAGCAGAAGGCCGAGGGUUCAAUUCCCUCCUGGGGCU